rnacentral:lncRNA from 1 species
GUGCACACUCAAUCAAGUUACAUAUAUCACAACAGUAAGUUUUGACACACAUAAAUAAUUCAUAUCUUCGAAACAUAGUUACCAUUCAGAUUCUCAUAAACUAAAGGAAACAUCAUCGUUCAAUGUUCAUGAAACCAUACAAGUUUACAAAAUAAUUCAUUGUUUGGUCCAUUACACAAAAUAUCCAUUUGACAGAAACCCCGACUUCAUGGUUUCUCGCCCGCCAACUUCUUGGUUCUUUCUCCUUACGCAGACCAUCCCUAUAAAAGAUAAGAAGGCCUCAAUACAUUUAUAAGUUGGUAACACAAUGACGUUCUAAACAUUUGCAUCAUGAAAAAGGAAAAUGCAAUUCAUGCUGUUAUAAAACAGAUAAUGGAUCUUAUGUUGGAGAGAAAAUUUUGAUGUACUUAGACACGUGAAGGCAAGGUCUCAGGUGAAUCAUGUACGAAAGAGAGAGCACACAUACAUAAAAAGCUGUUAUUUUACAUAUCUAGGUACAUGACAACAGAGAGAAACAGCACAAUGAACCAAAAACUUGUUUCACAUAUCAGUAUAGCAAUUAUUCUUAUGUAAAUAGCCUAUCUAGAAUUAAUCUCCACAUGAUUAUAGCUAUAUAGAGGAGCACCAAUAGUGGGUCCAGUGUACAUUAACAAAUAAAACAAAAACAACACACUAGCAGAACACUCUGAGCAUGAAACAUUAUUGGAAACAAGGCAAUUUGUUGUUGCUUCUGUAUUCCACAACAGACCAAGUGAGAAGAUAACAAAUAUCCAAGAUCAAAACUAAUUUGGUAUUACAAAUAAAUCCAGCCACCAGUUCUUUUCUGAAAUAUACUAGCAAAAAAGACAGGAUUUUGUAUCAAGAUUACUAAGCCACAGAUUAACAAAUACAGAUUCUAGUUUUUGGCUUGUGCUUGUUGGUGUGUAUAGUUUCAGACUAAUGUGCUGCUAUAAUAUGAGGUGUUACUUGACAUGUCCUGAACCGAAGAUCUCAGAUAAGCACACACAAAAGAAUUCUAGAACAAUACAGAACUGGAUGUUGACAAAAAUCAAUAAGCACAUCAGUAGUGCCACCACAAAAUAAAAGGCAUUGUAUUUCCAGAUGUACUGAGACUUAAAGCACAAUUGCUAGAACAACUACAGGAUUUUGGAUGAAGCAACUACUACAUCAUAACACUAUAUUGUUCAUCAAGAUUCAGAUUUGGAUAAGAAAUUACUCAAAGUGAUGAUUCUUUUAUAGAGCUUGAAGGUACAACUGUCUCAACAGUUAUCCCAAGUUUAUAGAAAAGAAUACCUUACCGACAUGUGGAGGAUAAUGCCGCAGCAGUCUUGUAGGGCUUCAUCUAGAAAAAUCAUCAUCAGUUAGCAGCUUACAUCCAACAAUACAAGGAAAACUCAAAAAAUUAACAGGGUAGGUGAUUACCUUGCUUGAUGGCCAUGCAAUGGACAUCUUGACAGCAUCGCUGAUGUAUCGUAAACCAUCAUACUGAAAAGGUAGCGUAGAUUCCCUUCUAAUCGCAACAUUGACGAUCACCUCAUAAUUCUCUAGCCCAAGGGGCUCCCCGCCAACAAUAGUGUCUUCAGCGAUUGAGAUAAUCCUUGCCUUAGCAACAGGAGUUUCAGGACCAUUCCAAGCAAGCAGAAGCACAUCCAUACCAGUCUGCGAGAUAUUUAUUUUAGGAACAUGCAAACAAAAAUGUUUAAAUAUGUAGGUAAGGAUUAGAAGAUAGAUUACCAGGCUUUCAUCUUGGUGAUUUGGGAAACUACUUUGGGGAACCCUUAUAACUCUUCAUGGGUAACACGGGCAUGACUCUUGCUACCAGUUAUAUGUGACACCAUUGACUUGGCACGAUUCUCUUUCGCUCUUGCACUGCGAGC